ACUCUUACUCUUAAAAACUCCAUAACUGUUGCUAUGUUGUUAAAAUUAUGCUGUAGACGGUUUGGUAUUUUUAUAAUGAUCAUAUACCUGUAUGUUUUAUUCCUUUGAUUGUUUCGAGACUUUGUUUAGUCUCGAAGGGGGGUUAUGUUGUGUAUUCGUUAGAGUAAAACAUGUUGACAUAUGCUUAGAACAUAAUAAUAGGCUUACAUUUAUGGUGUUUGCCCUUUGGACACUCAGACAUUCUCAGAGAGUCCACCAGGUGUUUGUCUUAUUUACUUUACCUAUUUGGGGACGACCUUUGAUCUAGGGAACCAUCUCUGACCAGUUAACAGAUGGGCUCAGAAGGAAUGUUCUUGACCAGUGUGUCUUCAUGUUCAGACACAAAAACGUGUCCUUAUUUAGUCAGAAAUCCCAUGUGGGAUGUUUUUUACCUGAAGUCAUGGGUGGAACCAAACUCCCUAUAUAACUGUGUGUAAGACCCCAGCACGUCAGACUUUCACUAUUGGCUGUGUGUCUUCGGGUAUCUAGAUGCCCGUCCCGACCUGUAAUUUCUUGUAAUAAACUUUGUUACACUGAAACUACUGGGUCCUCGGAAUCCUUCCUUCAUCAUCAACAACUUCUACAACAUCAUUGACCUCUCGGCUGCAUCAAAUAUACGAUAGUAUCAUCCGUUUUGCUGAGAAGGUGAUUGGCUGUAAUCUGACAUCUCUACAGGACCUGUUUGCCUCGAGGACCCUGAGGCGUGAAGCUCAUGUCUCUGCGUCUGACUGAGGGAGGUUUUUGUACGACUGUAAAUCACUGUGUCAACACAUCUGCUCCGCUUACUACAUGGAUGCUCUUACAGUAAUAAACUGCUGCAUCUUCACUCUGAACUCCACUGAUGGUCAAAGAGAAGUCAGAGCUGCUUCCACUGCCACUGAACCGAGCAGGUAUUCCUGAUUGUCUAUUGCUCACCCUGUAUAUUAGGAGCCGUGGAGCCUGUCCAGGUUUCUGCUGGUACCAGUACAUACAAUCAACAGAACUACAUUUUGCAACACUGGGGUUGGUGUUACAGGUCAGUGUGACAGUGGAUCCUGGAGUAAAUGUCACGACUGGAGGCUGAGUCACAGUCACCUGGCCGCUGCAUCCUGCACACAAACACAAAUCAUACAUUAAUCAGCGGAGGUGAAGAGAGAGAACAGGCAGCGCAUCACGUCUGAAAUGUUGCUGAGUGACUGAACCUGUGAAGCUGCAGCAGGCCAGCGUCCAGAUGAGGAGGGUGAUGAGAGUCAUGGUGGUUGUGGUCGACUGACGGGUCUGAGUCCUGCAGAGUUGGAGUCACAGGACUAUAAAGCUUCUCAGUUCAGUGGAGGAUCAGCUGACGAUGCAAAGCCUCCUCUCUAUGGAAAUGAUUCCUCUGCUCUGAGCGGACUGAAGGUGA